UGGUGAUCCUGGUGAGGUCGUACCGAUGCGCGGAGGAGAGCAUGGACAUGGAGGUGGCGAAGCUGGAGGCCGCGCAGCUGGCAGAGGCCAUCAGGAGGAAGAAGCAGCCGCACGACAGCGACGUCGUCCGGAUCGUGAGCACCAGGAGCAAGCCGCAGCUCGCCGCCACGUUCCGGUGCUAUCAGGAGGAAGAGGACAUGAAGCAGUACAGCAGCAGCCAGUUUGUAAGGAUGCUGAAGACUGCUGUCUGGUGCCUCACAUCUCCUGAAAAGCACUUUUCAUAGGUACGCCAUGGCACGCAGAUCAACCUCACCCUGCGCACCCGCUGGUGGCUGCACUGCAUCACACACAGCCGUGAGUGCGACGCCAGGCUCGUCGUGCCCAUGGGGGAACAUUGUCCAGCUAUGCUUCUCACUGACCAGUCACACUGGCAAGUCGAACGCGCAGGAAGAGACGACCCUCGUUACCACUCUGUACGCUGAUCUUGAUUCGCGACUGGGGUGUGCAGUAUGUCCGCAGGUGCCACGGAUCUGGAGCCUGAUGUUGCUGCUGAAGAGCAGUGCGAUCAAGCUCCCCCAAAGGGACAUCUAGAGGGCUUUACUCAUCAGGGGGAGCUAGAUGUAUGAUGUACGGCAACGGGAAUGGGAGCUGGUGAGGAAAGGAACCUGCUGGGACAAACAAAUCGAGUCCCUUCUCUACAUGUUGGUUUUGCUCCCUUGCACAGCAGGAAAUGCCUCUGCAAAAACAUGAUACUAUAUAUAUGCAUGUCAUAGUCAGCAGUUAGCGUGUGGCAAUGAAGUGAACCAUCAGAUUACAUUUUGCUUUGUCUUGUUGAUAAUGCCAUAUGUCUUGCAAUCAGAUUUCAUUUCUGUUUGUUAUGGUAAUAUAAAAAAUAUUCGUGCUGUCAAA